rnacentral:rRNA from 1 species
AUUGAACGCUGGCGGAAUGCUUUACACAUGCAAGUCGAACAGCAGCACGGACUUCGGUCUGGUGGCGAGUGGCGAACGGGUGAGUAAUGUAUCGGAACGUGCCCAGUCGUGGGGGAUAACGUAGUGAAAAUUACGCUAAUACCGCAUACGAUCUAUGGAUGAAAGCGGGGGAUCGCAAGACCUCGCGCGAUUGGAGCGGCCGAUAUCAGAUUAGGUAGUUGGUGGGGUAAAGGCCCACCAAGCCAACGAUCUGUAGCUGGUCUGAGAGGACGACCAGCCACACUGGAACUGAGACACGGUCCAGACUCCUACGGGAGGCAGCAGUGGGGAAUUUUGGACAAUGGGCGCAAGCCUGAUCCAGCCAUUCCGCGUGCAGGAUGAAGGCCCUCGGGUUGUAAACUGCUUUUGUACAGAACGAAAAGGUUUCUACUAAUACUAGGAGCUCAUGACGGUACUGUAAGAAUAAGCACCGGCUAACAACGUGCCAGCAGCCGCCGUAA